rnacentral:rRNA from 1 species
GAUGAACGCUAGCGGCAGGCUUAAUACAUGCAAGUCGAGGGGCAGCGCGGGUAGCAAUACCUGGCGGCGACCGGCAAACGGGUGCGGAACACGUACGCAACCUUCCCAUAACUGGUGAAUAGCCCUCCGAAAGGAGGAUUAAUACACCGUAAGAUAACGAAGAGGCAUCUCUUUGUUAUUAUAGCUACGGCGGUUUUGGAUGGGCGUGCGCCUGAUUAGGUAGUUGGCGGGGUAACGGCCCACCAAGCCUACGAUCAGUAACUGGUGUGAGAGCACGACCAGUCACACGGGCACUGAGACACGGGCCCGACUCCUACGGGAGGCAGCAGUAAGGAAUAUUGGUCAAUGGACGCAAGUCUGAACCAGCCAUGCCGCGUGAAGGAUGAAGGUCCUCUGGAUUGUAAACUUCUUUUAUCUGGGACGAAAAAAGGGCUUUCUAGCUCACUUGACGGUACCAGAGGAAUAAGGCACCGGCUAACUCCGUGCCAGCAGCCGCGGUAAAGUAUCGUACGC